GAUGAACGCUGGCGGCGUGCCUAAUACAUGCAAGUCGAGCGAACAGACGAGGAUCUUGCUCCUCUUACGUUAGCGGCGGACGGGUGAGUAACACGUGGCUAACCUACCUAUAAGACUGGGAUAACUUCGGGAAACCGGAGCUCAUACCGGAUAAUAUAUUGAACCGCAUGGUUCAAUAGUGAAAGACGGUUUUGCUGUCACUUAUAGAUGGAUCCGCGCCGCAUUAGCUAGUUGGUAAGGUAACGGCUUACCAAGGCAACGAUGCGUAGCCGACCUGAGAGGGUGAUCGGCCACACUGGAACUGAGACACGGUCCAGACUCCUACGGGAGGCAGCAGUAGGGAAUAUUCCGCAAUGGGCGAAAGCCUGACGGAGCAACGCCGCGUGAGUGAUGAAGGUCUUCGGAUCGUAAAACUCUGUUAUUAGGGAAGAACAAAUGUGUAAGUAACUAUGCACGUCUUGACGGUACCUAAUCAGAAAGCCACGGCUAACUACGUG
rnacentral:rRNA from 1 species